GCCGCCGCCACCGCCGCCGCCGCCGCCGCCCGCCGCCACGGUCCCGGAGCCUCCCGGGCGCGCGGCUCCGCACGCGGCCCGCGAGCAGGGGGGCGUGGCGCGCGGACACGGCGGGGCGGCGCGCGCCCGGGAAGCCCCGGGGGCGGGGCCUGGCGAGGGCGGGGCCCGCUUGGCGACUGCACCCGGGACUCCCUCACGCCGCCCGCGGCCGCGCUACCAAGGAGCCGAGCGCUGGGCCCCGCCCCUUCCGAGCCCGCUCCCAGCGAGAGACGCAGAUCGGAUGAAUCUCCCGGCGGAGAGCUAUCGGCUUUUCCGGAAUGGAGGACUCGGCUCGUGACGGAACAAAGCCCGAAGAAGCAGGGAGCCUUAGACCCCGCUCGCCUGGCCGCCGACGUCCCCGGUCUGCGGUGGCCCGAGCCCCUGCCUGGUUGGAGGGCACUCCCCUGCCGCGGGGGACUUCGGGUCUCCACCCCUCUCCCGAGGCGCCCGCCCAGGCGGGACCUGCCCCAACUCUUGGCGGGCGGGAUUCUCCUGGCGUGGCCUAGUGCUUGUCAGGUUCCACCUCCUAAGGCCAUCACUCAGGGGAUCAGAUUUCAACGCAUGAAUUUUUUGGGGAACAAAAACCUUCAAUCCGUAACAGAGAAGAAGAAAAUAAAUUGUCCCAAUGUAUUAAUGGUGUGCUGGAGCCAGCUUGUGGCAGCGAAUUAUGUGAAUCUUUCCCAACUCUACAUUCAGUGACUUCACAUUGGUAACUUGGAAUGAGCCAUUGUACAGGUAAUUAACACCAGAAAAUUUGGCAAAUGCUACAAAUCAGUGCUUUUCAGAGAGCUGGUUGUUAAACAUUUACCAGCACACACUUGCUUGCUGCCUUUAUAUUAAUCGCUCAUCUCAGUUCUUGGUUUGUGCAUAUUAGAAUUAAUUAUAUGAUGUUCUAAAUUUUAUAUCAAUUGAUCUUAUCCACUCAGACAAUAUAGCAUAGGAGUUAGCAAAUACUGUAAUCCCUUAGAUCCAAGACGCUAUGAAACAGAAUUGGGUUUUAAAAGGCUCUAAGAGGCCAGGCGCGGUGGCUCACACCUGUAAUCCCAGCACUUUGGGAGGCCGAGGCGGGUGGAUGACGAGGUCAAGAGAUGGAGACCAUCCUGUUCAACAGACCAUCCUGGUCAACAUGGUGAAACCCCGUCUCUACUAAAAAUACAAAAAAUUAGCUGGGCAUGGUGGUGCGUGCCUGUAAUCCCAGCUACUCAGGAGGCUGAGGCAGGAGAAUUGCUUGAACCCAGGAGGCGGAGGUUGCAGUGAGCCGAGAUUGCGCCAUUGCACUCCAGCCUGGGUAACAAGAGCGAAACUCCGUCUCAAAAAUAAAAUAAAAUAAAAUAAAGAAAUAAAAGGCUCUAAGAAUUAGAGGCAAUGAAGGUGCCAAAUCCACCAGCAGGGGGAGCCCAAUUUCCGAACAUAGGCAUUUUGCCUUCUCUUAGGAAUACAGCAGCAUUUUCAAAAUGAAAAAUAGAGGAUAACAUUUGUCAGAAACCCACACAUUAGAAAUAAAUACACACUAUACUUUAAUAAAGUUAUACUGGUAAACCAAAUCUUACCUGAUUCUGCAUUGACCAUACUAGAAAUAAGGAAACACCCUGUUUUUAAAAAAAGUCUGGUAGACAAAAAUCUCAGAAAUCACCACUAAAGAACUUAUUCACGUGACCAAACAUCCCCUGUUCCCCCAUAUCUGUUGAAAUAAAAUAAAAAUAAAUUAAAAAUCAAUAAAUAAAUCAGGAUGUGUUCCAUUGGGGCAAAUAAGAAAAAAAAAUCUAGUAGAAACAUAAAAUGAAGAACUCAGAACUUUGAAAGAUCAUGCCACUGUUUCUGAAAAGAAAAUCAAAAGUACUAUGCAUUUUGUAUUAUUGAGGCCUUUUAAAAAUAUAUAAGCUAUGCAAUUUUCAUAAAGCUGAUUCAACAUUCAGGAUUCUUAAAAUUUCCCCCCCCCGAAUAAUAUAUAAAUGAAAUGGAACUGUAAUCUAAAAAUCAACUGGAAUUUUUGAAAACUUGAAAAGAUUACUCUAAAUUUUAUCUGAAAGAGUAAAGGAGCAGGAAGGCAUUUAAAAUACUGAAAUAAAUAAAUAAAUAAAAUAAAAUAAAAUACUGAAAAAUGGGAGUAACUUCUACAAGAAGAAACUUGAGCUUUCAUAUUUUGCAUCACAUUGCAUACCAUAAUAAUUAACACAAUGACAUGUGCUAAAAUGUAAAAUCAAAUAAAUUGAAUAGAUUAUAGAUUAUUGAAUAUAAGAUCAAAUAAAUUGGUUAUACAGACCGUGAGUAUUUAGAAUUUGAUUAACACGACAUAUCAAAUUGGUGAAAUAAUUGUGAAUUAGUAAAUGGCGCUCUGAUAAUUACUUGUGGAGAAAAAGUUACAUACUUCUCACCAUGCUCUAAAAUAAAGUCCAGAUGGGCUGAAGAUUUAAAUAUAAUAUUGAUAUUUAUAUAUGUGAAAUAUAUUAAAUGCAAUAUAUUUUAUAUGUGCAUGUGUGUAGUCUUCAGUUUUUUGUUUUAUGCAUAGAAAUAUACAUUUAUUUACAAAAACAAAUACACAUUUCAUGCAAAGGGAUUAUAUGUGAUCAGUUUCAUUUGCAUAAUUAACCCAUCCCUAUGCAUCCACCAUCCUGUUUCAACGUGGACAAUCCUGUUUCAUCGACCCACACUCCCUUGAAUUAUUUUUAUUAUUUUGAUUCAAAUAUGAGAUUUCAAAUCAUUUCAUUCAUAAGUAUUCCCGUAUGUACAUACAAAGGAUAAGGACAAUAUUAUCAGUGCACUUUAAACGUUCAUUGCAAUUGCCUAAUGUCAUUAAACUCCAGGCAGCAUUUCAAUUCUCCCAAUUAUAUUAUAAAGGUUUUGUUACUAUAUAUAUGAAGCAAACUCAAUUAAGUUCAAGGAUAUAGUCUCUUUUGCUUGCUCUUAUGUGUUCAUGCUCAUACAAAUCACAGCAACCCAUGGGCACCAUGUACUGUGUGUGAUUGGCCACACUUGGGUCGUAUACCCACUCCCAUCAUCAUCAGAUGGAGCAGAUGUUUGUUACAGGAGAAAUGGAGCGCUGUGUAAACACAAGCAAUAGCCAACAUAAACAACACAUCCAACCCUACAUCAUUACAUAGUGUUGCAUUUUCCUUCUUUUUUUUUUUUUUUUUGAGACCGCUCUGUUGCCCAGGCUGGAGUGCAGUGGUGCAAUUUCAGCUCACUGCCACCUCCGCCUCCUGGGUUCAAGUGAUUCUCCUGCCUCAGCCUACCGAGUAGCUGGGACUACAGGCACGUGCCACCAUGCCCAGCUAAUUUUGUAUUUUUAGUAGAGAUGGGGUUUCACCAUGUUCGCCAGGAUGGUCUCAAUCUUCUGACCUCAUGAUCUGCCCACCUCGGCCUCCCAAAGUGUUGGGAUUACAGGCAUGAGCCCACCAUACCCGGCCAGUAUUGCAUUUUCUAAUGAACUUCCUCAGCCUGCCACUGCAACAUAGAGUUAAGGGUCUUAUGUUGUCUCAAACUGACUGAUUGCUAGAAAUCAGCCACCCUCAAAGAUUCUCCCACCUCUUUAGGAAUGCUUUCAGGAUCUCUUCUCCUGUGUGUUCCAGAAUGAGUUUUUUUGGCUCUCACUCUUCAGCCUCCUAAUCUUGACCCCUUGCUAUGGCCUCUUGUGUGGUACCCACAUCUUAUACCUGUGAGGGGACUACACUAUACGUAGCUCUGAGAGUAGUCCUCAUGGGUAACGACGUUUACCCUCCCACUACCCUUGGAAAGAGACAUUGCUCUUUGAUACCGACGGGGCUCUCCUACUGCUAGGAGAAGUAGUUAUUACUCUUUUAGUCUUGGGUCUCCUGCUUGCUAGCUGCUGUGUCUGUGUUUCCACAAAGACUGCGUCAUGGUCAACUCACCAGAUGUCCCUAGUUAAUCCCUACUGGUCCCUCCUGUGCUGCCAUCAUGAAUCGAGCUUUCUUUGAAUGGGUCUUCUCUCAUUGUAAUCUCUGUUUCAAUCUGAGAGAGCUAUUAAUAUAUACCCUCGGCUGACAGAAGAAAUGAACUCCCUGUGUCUAAAGCAAGGCACACCAGAAAUGAAAUCAAGUGACUGUUGUAGAGAGGGGUUGGUCACAAACCCCUGUAUUCCUAACUGUCAUAAGGUCUUGUUUCCUAUUAAUUGAGCAGAAACUAGCCCUUGCCCACAUGCCCUAUAGUUCACCUUUUGAUUGUGAAGAGCCCAAUCCUACCUCAUUUUAAUGUUAAAACUUCACCAUAAGAUGAACAGAGAAUGCAUGCUACUUACUCUCCCACUGCACAUACAUUUAGGGUUUCCCUCAUAAAUAUUCAUAGAUUUCCCCCAAACCUGCUAAAUAUGCAUGUAAGGCAGACCCUGAAAAACACAAAUACCAGAUUUCCCUUUCCCCUCUUUGGAGUCUGUGUUUUCAUCUUCCCUGGAGGCUACGUUCUUUGAUCUACAGAUCUGGUCUCAAAGUUUUCUUCUUUCCUUUCUCCAUAGAUCUCAUGGUCCUUUGUUAACAAGGUGGUCUUCUUAGUCAACCUCAAGUGUUUCUAUUUCUUCUUCUUUGCUUUCAGAAGUCUCUACUGCAUGCAGCCUCAACUCCAGAUUGACUUUAUUUAUGGAAUGCUUCUUUUAAUAUUAAUUGGUAUAACAAUUCACUCAUUAAAUAUUAAAUGCUUCCUGAAAAUAUGGAAACACUAGCAGGUAUAAAACACUGAGUUAUUUCAUAUGAAGUGAAAAAGAUGCUCGACAGCAAAUUUCAGCUUUCAUUUUAAGAAUAAAGAGUAAAUCAGGAUCUGAACAGAACUAACGCCAACCUGAAAGUCUACCUUGAUUUUGGUCCAGCUGCCUCUGUUAGCUGGUUAAUAAAAGUCUGUAAAUUUCUCUUAAAGUUUACGUUUCUAACAAAUUUAUCUCUAGAUGAAUCUUGUGAAAUUUAUAAUAUUCUGAAUAUUUGUUUCAAUUUAACAGUAUUUGGAAGAGUUCAUGACCUCUGAUUCUCCACAAAAGGAUUCUGCAUCCUGCAUCUUAGUUAUUUGAUACAAUUGUUCAGCCUAGCUUUGCAGGGAAGAGAAAAAUGUGUCUCUUGGGCCUCAUAACAGAUGGUAGGCCACAUGAGAAGGC
rnacentral:lncRNA from 1 species